rnacentral:rRNA from 1 species
UACGUAGGGUCCGAGCGUUGUCCGGAAUUAUUGGGCGUAAAGAGCUCGUAGGCGGUUUGUCGCGUCUGCUGUGAAAUCCCGAGGCUCAACCUCGGACUUGCAGUGGGUACGGGCAGACUAGAGUGUGGUAGGGGAGACUGGAAUUCCUGGUGUAGCGGUGGAAUGCGCAGAUAUCAGGAGGAACACCGAUGGCGAAGGCAGGUCUCUGGGCCAUUACUGACACUGAGAAGCGAAAGCAUGGGGAGCGAACAGG